GGUAAUACGUAGGGUGCAAGCGUUAUCCGGAAUUAUUGGGCGUAAAGGGCUCGUAGGCGGUUCGUCGCGUCCGGUGUGAAAGUCCAUCGCUUAACGGUGGAUCUGCGCCGGGUACGGGCGGGCUGGAGUGCGGUAGGGGAGACUGGAAUUCCCGGUGUAACGGUGGAAUGUGUAGAUAUCGGGAAGAACACCAAUGGCGAAGGCAGGUCUCUGGGCCGUUACUGACGCUGAGGAGCGAAAGCGUGGGGAGCGAACAGGAUUAGAUACCCUGGUAGUCCACGCCGUAAACGGUGGAUGCUGGAUGUGGGGCCCGUUCCACGGGUUCCGUGUCGGAGCUAACGCGUUAAGCAUCCCGCCUGGGGAGUACGGCCGCAAGGCUAAAACUCAAAGAAAUUGACGGGGGCCCGCACAAGCGGCGGAGCAUGCGGAUUAAUUCGAUGCAACGCGAAGAACCUUACCUGGGCUUGACAUGUUCCCGACAGCCGUAGAGAUAUGGCCUCCCUUCGGGGCGGGUUCACAGGUGGUGCAUGGUCGUCGUCAGCUCGUGUCGUGAGAUGUUGGGUUAAGUCCCGCAACGAGCGCAACCCUCGCCCUGUGUUGCCAGCACGUCAUGGUGGGAACUCACGGGGGACCGCCGGGGUCAACUCGGAGGAAGGUGGGGAUGACGUCAGAUCAUCAUGCCCCUUACGUCCAGGGCUUCACGCAUGCUACAAUGGCCGGUACAACGGGAUGCGACACGGCGACGUGGAGCGGAUCCCUGAAAACCGGUCUCAGUUCGGAUUGGAGUCUGCAACCCGACUCCAUGAAGGCGGAGUCGCUAGUAAUCGCGGAUCAGCAACGCCGCGGUGAAUGCGUUCCCGGGCCUUGUACACACCGCCCGUCAAGUCAUGAAAGUGGGUAGCACCCGAAGCCGGUGGCCUAACCCUUUGUGGAUGGAGCCGUCUAAGGUGAGACUCGUGAUUGGGACUAAGUCGUAACAAGGUAGCCGUACCGGAAGGUGCGGCUG
rnacentral:rRNA from 1 species